GACGAACGCUGGCGGCGUGCUUAACACAUGCAAGUCGAACGGAAAGGCCCUGCUUUUGUGGGGUGCUCGAGUGGCGAACGGGUGAGUAACACGUGAGUAACCUGCCCUUGACUUUGGGAUAACUUCAGGAAACUGGGGCUAAUACCGGAUAGGAGCUCCUGCUGCAUGGUGGGGGUUGGAAAGUUUCGGCGGUUGGGGAUGGACUCGCGGCUUAUCAGCUUGUUGGUGGGGUAGUGGCUUACCAAGGCUUUGACGGGUAGCCGGCCUGAGAGGGUGAACGGCCACAUUGGGACUGAGAUACGGCCCAGACUCCUACGGGAGGCAGCAGUGGGGAAUAUUGCACAAUGGGCGGAAGCGUGAUGCAGCAACGCCGCGUGCGGGAUGACGGCCUUCGGGUUGUAAACCGAUUUCGACUGUGACGAAGCGUGAGUGACGGUAAUGGGUAAAGAAGCACCGGCUAACUACGUG
rnacentral:rRNA from 1 species